GACGAACGCUGGCGGCAGGCCUAACACAUGCAAGUCGAACGAAGUCUUCGGACUUAGUGGCGCACGGGUGAGUAAGACGUGGGAAUAUACCUUACGCUGGGGGAUAACAUCGGGAAACUGAUGCUAAUACCGCAUACGCCCUUCGGGGGAACGAUUUAUUGGCGAAAGAUUAGCCCGCGUCCGAUUCGCUAGUUGGUGAGGUAAUGGCUCACCAAGGCUCCGAUCGGUAGCUGGUCUGAGAGGAUGACCAGCCACACUGGGACUGAGACGCGGCCCAGAAUCCUACGGGAGGGAGCAGAGGGGAAUAUUGGACAAUGGGGGCAGGCCUGAUCCAGCCAUGCCCGGUGAGUGAUGAAGGCCUUAGGGUUGUAAUGCGCUUUCACCCGCGACGAUGAUGACGGUAGUGGGUGAAGAAGCCCCGGCUAACUACGUG
rnacentral:rRNA from 1 species